UACGUAGGGUGCAAGCGUUGUCCGGAAUUAUUGGGCGUAAAGAGCUCGUAGGCGGUUAGUCACGUCGGAUGUGAAAACCCGGAGCUUAACUCCGGGCCUGCAUUCGAUACGGGCUGACUAGAGUGUUGUAGGGGAGACUGGAACUCCUGGUGUAGCGGUGAAAUGCGCAGAUAUCAGGAAGAACACCGGUGGCGAAGGCGGGUCUCUGGGCAACUACUGACGCUGAGGAGCGAAAGCGUGGGGAGCAAACAGG
rnacentral:rRNA from 1 species